rnacentral:rRNA from 1 species
CCUACGGGAGGCAGCAGUAGGGAAUAUUGGUCAAUGGACGCAAGUCUGAACCAGCCAUGCCGCGUGAAGGAUUAAGGCCCUCUGGGUUGUAAACUUCUUUUAUAGGGGACGAAAAAAGGGCAUUCUUGCUCACUUGACGGUACCCUAGGAAUAAGCACCGGCUAACUCCGUGCCAGCAGCCGCGGUAAUACGGAGGGUGCAAGCGUUAUCCGGAUUUACUGGGUUUAAAGGGUGCGUAGGUGGGUUGGUAAGUCAGUGGUGAAAUCUUCGAGCUUAACUCGGAAACUGCCAUUGAUACUAUCAAUCUUGAAUCAUCUAGAGGUAAGCGGAAUAUGUCAUGUAGCGGUGAAAUGCUUAGAUAUGACAUAGAACACCAAUUGCGAAGGCAGCUUACUAUGGAUGUAUUGACACUGAGGCACGAAAGCGUGGGGAUCAAACAGGAUUAGAUACCCUGGUAGUCCACGCCCUAAACGAUGGAUACUCGACAUUUGUGAUAUACUAUAAGUGUCUGAGCGAAAGCAUUAAGUAUCCACCUGGGAAGUAACGACCGCAAGGUUGAAACUUCAAAGGAAUUGACGGCUGGAGAGNGCGAGCGACGACGAGGGAGGAGG